CUGAAGGGUUUCUGCUGUGAAUAGCACACGGACAAGGCGCUUGUUCUCUAUCCAUGCGGAAUCGACAUCAAGAGAUUUCGGAAGCACAAUUUUUGUUUCUUGGAGCUGCUGGUGAUCGUUUGUCUCAGCGCUCUG